UCCCUGAUAGCUCAGUUGGUAAAGAAUCUGCCUGCAAUGCAGGAGACCUCAGUUCGAUCCCUGGGUUGGGAA
rnacentral:tRNA from 1 species